CCCAGAAAUGGAUUACAGAAAAUUAUAUAAAUAAGCAAAUGCAAAAUGGCAACAUAAGUAAGUCAAUGUAUCGACAGUUUGGACAAGAAAAAUGUCUAAAGUGUGUAUGUCCGCCAUCAGUUAUAAAUUCGAAACAAGCGACAAAUAUUCGACUUUUUAGCCCUGAGCAAAUUCCCCACCCCGGGGCUAACCUCCAGAAAGCAAAUGCCCAACCCUGGGAAAAAUUGGGGGGUGGGCACCCAUGGAAUUGAUUGAGACAUUAAUUGCAAUGAAAUUUAUUUCAUUGGAAUUGAAAUUUAUUUCAUUGAAUAGUAUUGUAAUAACUAGAAAAUAGUAUUGUAACCAUCUCGACGACCUUUUCAUCGUGAUGUUCGUGAUGUUACUCUGGGUGUAUAUCCACAGCGGGCAAGCUUGAAAAAUAUGCCUGGCCAUGGGAAUCGAACCUACGACUUUUGGAAUACUAGCCCAAUGCUCUGCGAACUGAGCUACGCGGUCAGGUCGGUUCGAGUAUGUGAUAUUUCGGAACUGAGCCUAGUUCCUUCGAUAUCAAUAUAUACACUCACAGUAACAUCACAAGCAUCAAUUCAUUCACCUGAGUACAUUACACCAGCACAGAAGAAAGACCUUUUCAUCGCUGGACAUUUCCACAAUCAUACAUUUAUAGAUGUAUUUAUCAAAUAUAGGGUAUAUAGGAU